CAACAAGAGCCAGCAAACCCCAGCCCAAACCAAUCCCUCUCCUGAACCCAAAUUUCCCCUCUCUCUCAUCAUUGUUGCGUACCAAUCCUUGUCGUUUCGUAACAAAAAAAAUCAAGAAAAUGUACAACAGCAUGCCUCGUAACAAAAAAAUCAAGUAAAUUCUGCGGAGAGGACCCUGAAUGCUCCUGACUUCCUAGAUGAUUUUUAUCUCAAUUUGUUAGACUGGGGGAGCAGUAAUGUUAUUGCCAUUGGGUUAGGGAAUUUUGUAUAUCUGUGGGAUGCUUCUGAUGGGUCGACUACUGACCUUCUCACGGUUGGUGAUAAUUUUGGGCCGGUGACUAGCGUCAGCUGGUCACUCGAUGGAAGACAACUUGCAGUUACCUUGAAUAAUUCGCCCGUUCAGCUGUGGGACACCUUGCAGGGGUCUAGCCAAUUGGUAGGUGGUUUCUUUAUCUGUCUUCCUUCUUCUAGUCUGAUUAUUAUCACAAGUCUAACAUCUUUCUUUCUAUACAGCUGAGAACGUUACGAGGACACAGAUUAAGGGUUGGCUCACUUGAUUGGAAGGGCCACAUACUGACAACUGGAGGCAUGGAUAGUAUGAUCAUCAA